UCAUAGAAUUUCUUUAAAUUCAUGAUGUCGUAAGGGAAAAUAAUGAUAAUACCUUACUAUGAGUGUCGUCCAAAUCUGGUGCCAGAAGACUCGGUAAGACCAGAGACGCAAACGUUAAUCAUCAUAAACAGGCGUAAAGGGUUUGUAGGCAGCUUUUAAAAAAUAAUUAAAGGAAAAUUAAUUGAAAGCUAGAAUCAAAAAGAGGUUAUAGUGUAUAACGCCUAGAGGAGGGCUGAUAUCCAUAGAUCCUAGGCAGAAUACUCAGGGCGAAGGCCACUCUCCACUAAUGAUUGACGCUGAGAAACGAAGGUUAGGGUAGGAAAUAGGAUUAGAUACCCCGGUACUCCUUUCUGUAAACGAUGAAUGGUAGUCAUUAGUUAAAUGAAAAUAAUUAGAGGCGAAGUUAACACAAUAACCAUUCCGCCUUGUGAGUACUACUGCAAAGUAGAAAACAAAAAAAUUAGUCGGUCUCGAAGCAAACGGAGUGAAGCAUGUUAUUUA
rnacentral:rRNA from 1 species